AGUGAACGCUGGCGGUAGGCCUAACACAUGCAAGUCGAACGGCAGCACAGUAAGAGCUUGCUCUUACAGGUGGCGAGUGGCGGACGGGUGAGGAAUACAUCGGAAUCUACUUUUUCGUGGGGGAUAACGUAGGGAAACUUACGCUAAUACCGCAUACGACCUACGGGUGAAAGCAGGGGAUCUUCGGACCUUGCGCGAUUGAAUGAGCCGAUGUCGGAUUAGCUAGUUGGCGGGGUAAAGGCCCACCAAGGCGACGAUCCGUAGCUGGUCUGAGAGGAUGAUCAGCCACACUGGAACUGAGACACGGUCCAGACUCCUACGGGAGGCAGCAGUGGGGAAUAUUGGACAAUGGGCGCAAGCCUGAUCCAGCCAUACCGCGUGGGUGAAGAAGGCCUUCAGGUUGUAAAGCCCUUUUGUUGGGAAAGAAAAGCAGCAGGUUAAUACCCCGCUGUUCUGACGGUACCCAAAGAAUAAGCACCGGCUAACUUCGUG
rnacentral:rRNA from 1 species